UGUGCUCAGGGUUUGCACAGGCCCCUCUC
rnacentral:piRNA from 1 species